UUUCCCUGAAACAGACCCAGUCCACCUAUUUCAGUCCAUUUUCCUUUCUCCAACAAACAACGGCUAACAACAGUCAAUAACACGUACACCAACCAAGAGCAACGACAAAAUCAACAACGACAAAUCCUAAGCAAACCCGAUCAGCGUUUCAAUCACUGGAUAAUGAAAAAUUUGGUGGUCUCUUCUCUCCCUUACUCUAUUUCCGUCUCCAUCAACAUCACCUGUCUGUCCAUCACUUUUGUUCAAGAAAAUCAGAGCUCAAUGCUCUACAAUUUCAAGAAAAAUGGGGGAAAUCUAAAGAACUAUUGAAUUCAAGGUGUUUCAAAUUUGAUUCGACGACUACGGAGUUUAAUCCUAUAGGCUCAAGCUGAAUUGCCUCGAAUUCGUCACUUUUUCUUCAGGAUUGAUAGAGAAGAGAUGACCCCUUUCCCUUCUUUAUUUCUUUUCAUCAUCAAUACUUCUGAAAUUUCCCUGUUCUAGAAUUUAAAAAUUUGAUAUUUCUAAACGUUUCUCCAAGAAGCUGUUGCAACCCAUCUUUGCCUAUAAAUACGGGUCUUUCUUUUCACAAUGGGGGGUAGGGAUAGAGAAAAUGAGGGAAUAUUUGAGUUUUAUCACACUCUCCGAUUCACGUAGUUCUCUAUUUACUUUAUUUUCUGAUUUUCGUUAAUACUCUACUUUUUUUAAUCUCUCGCAUCUCGAAGUGGUGUGAAAAAACUAAUUGUCGUCUACCAAUCGUCCUGGUUCCUGCUCAAAAAGAGACUCCCAUCUCUUGCUUUUUCAUCCGGUUAAACCCAACCUGAAUCGCGUCAAGCCUUGUCAAAAUUCAAAAGGUGGACGAUAAUAUACGACUGGUAUACAUUGGAAGCUGUAGAUGCACACUAUUAAAUGGCGCAUGAUGAAAAAUGGAGGGGAAAUAAGCAGGGUUUCAGGCUGAUCUACACUGUAUAUGCAGUAGUAUAAAAAACACAUUAAAAGGAGCUACUGAUAUAUAACGGAUAUACAAGAGCGAAAGUGGAUUGAAAGUUCAUGUCCAAAAGUUGGACAAACUUUUAAGGGCAAAAUUCGGAAAUAACAUACUUAUCCUCUUAGUUAUGACUUUCAUAGCAACAGUUUCAUAAUUACAUAAUAUAGCAAGUUGUAUUUUAUAUUCUUGCAAACUGUUGCUACAAAAAUAUAAAUAUAUAUGAUUUUUACUGUCCUUUCUCAGACUAAGGAGAGAAUAAACCGAGAGGAUAGUCCGUGACAUCGAUAUGUAUUUUGUAUUUUUGCAAACUGUUGCUACAAAAAUACAAAUACAUACAAAUACAUAUGCUAUAAAAUGUAAUUUGAUAAAAGUGUUGUUAUUUUUUGUAAUUUAAUACUUUAUGUAUUUUUUUCAACUUUUAAUGGCCAGAAAGGGCCCAAUCUCAACUCUUCUCUAUUUACUUCAA